CCUACGGGAGGCAGCAGUGAGGAAUAUUGGUCAAUGGGCGCGAGCCUGAACCAGCCAAGUAGCGUGAAGGAUGACUGCCCUACGGGUUGUAAACUUCUUUUAUAAAGGAAUAAAGUGAGGCACGUGUGCCUUUUUGUAUGUACUUUAUGAAUAAGGAUCGGCUAACUCCGUGACAGCAGCCGCGGUAAUACGGAGGAUCCGAGCGUUAUCCGGAUUUAUUGGGUGUAAAGGGAGCGUAGAUGGGUUGUUAAGUCAGUUGUGAAAGUUUGCGGCUCAACCGUAAAAUUGCAAUUGAUACUGGCAGUCUAGAGUACAGUUGAGGUAGGCGGAAUUCGUGGUGUAGCAGUGAAAUGCUUAGAUAUCACGAAGAACUCCGAUGGCGAAGGCAGCUUACUAAACUGCAACUGACAUUGAUGCUCGAAAGUGUGGGUAUCGAACAGGAUUAGAUACCCGUGUAGUC
rnacentral:rRNA from 1 species